CUUACAGGGCUCUAAAAAGAAUGAUAAUUUCCCUUGUUUGAAUUGUGUUUCUUGUAACGCAAUGAUUAAAGGAUCAGUGUUUUGCCACCCACGUAGUGGUAAAAAAUACUCUAUCAAACAACUUGUGACAUGCUCAACCACUUUUGUAGUGUACAUUCUCAAACAAUGUGGGUUGUUAUAUGUGGGUCAAACUACCCAAAUAAUGAAGGAAAGAUUUUCUAAACAUAAAUCAACAAUUAGGACUGGCCUUUUAGAACUACCCAUACCCCUACAUUUCAGCAAAGC